rnacentral:rRNA from 1 species
AUUGAACGCUGGCGGCAGGCUUAACACAUGCAAGUCGAGCGGUAACAGAGAGAAGCUUGCUUCUCUGCUGACGAGCGGCGGACGGGUGAGUAAUGCCUAGGAAUCUGCCUAGUAGUGGGGGAUAACUUGCCGAAAGGUAAGCUAAUACCGCAUACGUCCUACGGGAGAAAGGAGGGGACCUUCGGGCCUUUCGCUAUUAGAUGAGCCUAGGUCGGAUUAGUUCGUUGGUGAGGUAAUGGCUCACCAAGACCGCGAUCCGUGACUGGUCUGAGAAGAUGAGCGGUCACGAUGGAAUGAAGGAGAGGGCCAGACUCCUCCGGGAGGCAGCAGUGGGGAAUAUUGGAGAAUGGGGGGAACCCUUAUCCAGCCAGGCCGCGUGUGUGAAGAAGGUCUUAGGAUUGUAAAGCACUUUAAGUUGGGAGGAAGAGCAGUUAACUAAUAUUUGACUGUUUUGACGUUACCGACAGAAUAAGCACCGGCUAACUUCGUGCCAGCCGCCGCCGUAA